rnacentral:lncRNA from 1 species
UCCAGGUAUGACGUGACUUGCUCCUCCCUGCCUUCUGCCAUGAUUGUGAGGCUUCAACACCAAUGUGGAACUGCUCAUAGGUGAAAAGGACUUGCCUUGUCUCAGAUUACACAUUGGACUGUGGACUUUUGAGUUAACGCUGAAAUGAGUUAAGAUUUUGAGGGACUGUUGUGAAGGCAUGAUUGAUUUUGAAAUGUAAGUACAUGUGAUUUGGGAGGGGUUGGGGCAUAAUGAUAUGGUUUGGCUGUGACCCCACCCAAAUCUCAUCC